rnacentral:rRNA from 1 species
AUGGCGGCACACUGGAACCUCCCGGCUGUGAACAAGAUGGUGCGAACUGGGCCUGAAUGGCUGCUACAGAUCCUCGGCGAAAUCUCGGAGAUGGAGAGGCUGCAACUGCUCAUGACGCUGUGGCGCGUAUGGCAUGUAAGUAACGAGAUUGUUCACGAUAAACGGCCACCAGAAGUAGAGUCCUCGAGACGUUUUCUGCUGAGCUAUGUCAAUUCCUUGGAAGCAGUCCGGCUACACCCCCAUGCUGAUCAUGUUAAAGGCAAAAUGGUGAUUGGUGGGGAGCAUUCUAGAGGCUCGUCAUCAACUGUGGUUCAGCCCAAAGAGCCAGGACUCCGGUGGGCGCUGCCGCCGGCGGGAUGGAUGCCACUGAGCGUUGACGGCUCAUUCUGCGUGCACGAUGAGACGGCAGGUGCCGGUAUGGUCUUACGGGAUGCUGCAGGAGCGAUCAUAUUCUCUUCUUGCAGAGAGCUGCGGUCCUGUACGUCGCCGCUCGAAGCAGAACUUGAAGCAUGCAGGGAGGGGAUCCAGCUUGCGCUCCAAUGGACAACGUUGCCAAUUGUAGUAGAGAUGGACAGCCUGGAGGCCACACAGCUCGUCCAAGACAAGAGCUUAGACAGAUCAGCGAAUUCUAUGCUGAUAGAAGAAAUCAAGACUAGUCUUCAAUCUGGAAGGGAGUUCUUAAUCAAGCACAUUAGACGUGAGCAAAAUAAUGUAAGCCACUACAUGACUAACUUUGGCAGGAGAGAAAGACGUACUGCCGUUUGGCUUAAAUCUGGACCUGGAGAUGUACUGAACAUUUGUAAGGCAGAUGUACCUGCUGCUUGA